AUGAAAUUUACCGUGAGGUCGCCGACAUCCAUUUACCACCAGGAAUGGGGAUCGAUCUUUGCUGUCAAUGACGUCGUACAAACGCAUGAUGUAUUUUAAACACCAUAUGUAAUCUUGGGUAGCUCUAACAAUGGAGGCUAGUGAAAAAGAGUUCAACCUGACCCGGAGGUUUUCUGUCCUGCAUGUCAGAGGUUUUUCUAGAACGGAACCUUCCCACACUAAGGUUGUUUGUCAUGUAUUAUAGGACAUGCAUGAAAAUUGAGUGUUAUGCAAGAUAAGUCAUUAAUAGUAUUAAACUUCUUUAAUCUUUCCUGUUCUGUGUGUGACAAUUUCUCAAUUAUCUCAACAAAAA